GACCAGACUCCUACGGGAGGCAGCAGUGAGGAAUAUUGGUCAAUGGCCGGAAGGCUGAACCAGCCAAGCCGCGUGAAGGACGAAGGUGCCAAGCAUUGUAAACUUCUUUUGUCAAGGGACAAAAUCAGGCUCGAGAGCCUGACCGAGGGUGCUUGAAGAAAAAGCAUCGGCUAACUCCGUGCCAGCAGCCGCGGUAAUACGGAGGAUGCGAGCGUUAUCCGGAUUUAUUGGGUUUAAAGGGUGCGUAGGCGGUCUGUUAAGUCGGGGGUAAAAGCCGGGGGCACACCCCCGGCCUGCCGUUGAAACUGGCGGCCUCGAGUGGGCGAGAAGUAUGCGGAAUGCGUGGUGUAGCGGUGAAAUGCAUAGAUAUCACGCAGAACUCCGAUUGCGAAGGCAGCAUACCGGCGCCCGACUGACGCUGAGGCACGAAAGCGUGGGUAUCGAACAGGAUUAGAUACCCGGGUA
rnacentral:rRNA from 1 species